rnacentral:rRNA from 1 species
UACGUAGGUGGCAAGCGUUGUCCGGAAUUAUUGGGCGUAAAGCGCGCGCAGGCGGUCCGUUAAGUCUGAUGUGAAAGCCCACGGCUCAACCGUGGAGGGUCAUUGGAAACUGGGGGACUUGAGUGCAGAAGAGAAGAGUGGAAUUCCAGGUGUAGCGGUGAAAUGCGUAGAGAUGUGGAGGAACACCAGUGGCGAAGGCGACUCUUUGGUCUGUAACUGACGCUGAGGCGCGAAAGCGUGGGAGCAAACAGG